rnacentral:other from 1 species
CUCGAUCUCGCGUUGAGAAAUAGCGGUCGCGAAUGCACAACAUUUACUGGAUCAAAAAUGGCAACAGGUACUGUGAAGUGGUUUAACGAUGCAAAGGGCUUUGGCUUCAUCACGCCGGACGACGGCGGCGAAGAUCUGUUCGCGCACUUUUCUGAAGUUCAAGGCACGGGCUUCAAGUCCCUGCAGGAAAACCAGAAAGUGUCGUUCGACGUCAAGCAAGGCCCGAAGGGCAAGCAGGCUGCAAACAUCCAGCCGGCCUAAGUACCUUCCGGUACUCUGAAGUACUGUCAGGCGCUCGCGUCUGAUGCAAAAUGGUCCGCUUUCGCGGGCCAUUUUCUU